AAAUUUUUCAGCCUAAAAAAUAAGGAAGUAGCAGUGUUGCAAUGACAGAGUGAUGUUCUGGUGUUCUCUCUUAGUUUUACCUUGUUUUUCUUUUUUAUUCAAAGAUUUGUUUAUUAAUGAGGGCACCAAAGCAUCACUUUGGCACAUGCACCAGGGAUCAAACUUGGGACCCCAUGCUUGAGCAUUUUCAUUGCUUUAUCCACUGGGCCACUCUAAUUAACCUUUUAAUGAGAGACGGGUGAAAAGAACUCAGGACCUCGUACAUGGUGAUGUGCGCACUGUGUUUAUUGUCCAUCUUCCAGCCCCUUCUCCCUUUUAAAUUUUUAAUAGUGAGAUAACGACUUUUGGUUACUGUCUCAAAGCAAGCCAAUCCCCAUCAGAAAUAGAAUGCAAAAACUCUUACAAUAAGUAAUGGCAUGGAAUUACAAGUACUCUUUACAAGCUGUACUUGAAUCAAUGCUAUAGUUAGUGGCUUCUUAAAUUAGGGGAAGGAAAACCUGAUUUUUCCUUGGGACUAGAUGGUUGAGUGCACGUGUUGCUACUGUGCAUGAGGACUGGGUUCAAACCCCAGUCUCCGUCUGAGGGUAAGUUUCAUGAAUGGUUGAGUAGCGGUGCAAGUGUCCCCUUCACUCUCACCCUCUAUCUCAAAAGAAAAAUAGGGGUAGGGUGGGUGCACUGGGAGCUGUGAUGACAUCAUGCAGAAGAGAAUGUACACUAAUUUUGUAAUGCAUUAAAAUUCCUGUUUACAGGUGGGGGGUGGAUUGCAUAAUGGUUAUGCAAACAGACUGUCAUGCCUGAGGCUCUGAAGUCACAGGUUCAAUCCCCUGCACCACCAUAACCCAAAGCUGAUCAGUGCUCUGGUUAAAAAAAAAAAAAAAUCCUGUUUCCAUCAGACUUAGUUACACACACUAGUUACACACACACACACCACUGCUGUACUGUAGAUGAAGAUUCCUUUCAUGCCAUCAGACAUCAUGCUUGCUUUUGGUGCUGGGGGCUUAAACCCAGCUCCUACCUCCCACUUAGUAAAAUGUGUGCCAUAGCAGGAGAGCUAACUCCUAGCUCCCUUGAGUAUAUUUUUUUAAUUACCAGAUCUUGUCCUUCAAAAUGGUCUCAAAGUGAUUUAUAGAAUGGCCUGGGAGUUGACAUAAUGAUUGGCAUGUUGGACUUGGAAACAGUCCACCAUUCAAUCCUUGGCAUCACAUGUACCGACUGGAGUGUUGCUCUGGUGUUCUGCCUCUUUUUUUUUUUUUUUCUCUCAUGUUAACAAAUCUUUGAAAAUAAAAAAGAGAGACCCAUAGAAUAAUGAUGUGAUGGAGGACAGACUGCCCCUUGUGGAAAAAGUGUUAUAUUAAAGAACAAUUCAGAAGGUCAGGAGGUGGCUCAUCUGGUAAUAGUGCAUGUAUUAUGUGCAGAAGCCUGGCUUUGAGCUGGUCACUACAUAGGAGCACCUGCAGGGGGAGCUCUGCUAGCAGUAGAGCAGUGCUAUGGUGUCUCUUUAUCUCCUUGUCUCUCACCUCCUAUUUAGAGAAGGGGGUAGACUGCUGGCACCUGACCACAG